AGUGAACGCUGGCGGUAGGCCUAACACAUGCAAGUCGAACGGCAGCACAGUAAGAGCUUGCUCUUACGGGUGGCGAGUGGCGGACGGGUGAGGAAUACAUCGGAAUCUACUUUUUCGUGGGGGAUAACGUAGGGAAACUUACGCUAAUACCGCAUACGACCUACGGGUGAAAGCAGUGGAUCUUCGGACCUUUCGCGAUUGAAUGAGCCGAUGUCGGAUUAGCUAGUUGGCGGGGUAAAGGCCCACCAAGGCGACGAUCCGUAGCUGGUCUGAGAGGAUGAUCAGCCACACUGGAACUGAGACACGGUCCAGACUCCUACGGGAGGCAGCAGUGGGGAAUAUUGGACAAUGGGCGCAAGCCUGAUCCAGCCAUACCGCGUGGGUGAAGAAGGCCUUCGGGUUGUAAAGCCCUUUUGUUGGGAAAGAAAAGCAGCAGGUUAAUACCCCGCUGUUCUGACGGUACCCAAAGAAUAAGCACCGGCUAACUUCGUG
rnacentral:rRNA from 1 species